CAGUGUGAACUUGAGUCGAAGGGACUGUGACCUGUGGAUGAGUCCACAUGGGAGCAGGACACCCUGAAGCCUCUGUGGCCAUGGAUAAGCCCAUGCCAGAGCAGUAACCGCUAUGCGUGAUGGAGCCCUGCUUUCCUGGAGAUGGCUGAACACCUGCCUGCUGAUGGAAAGUGGUGAAUGAAGUCCGUGGUUUGCUUUGCUUGCAUGUGUGGCUUUUGCUUUACUUAUUAAACUGUCUUUAUCUCAA